rnacentral:rRNA from 1 species
UACGGAGGGUGCAAGCGUUAUCCGGAUUCACUGGGUUUAAAGGGUGCGUAGGUGGGCAGUUAAGUCAGUGGUGAAAUCUCCGGGCUCAACCCGGAAACUGCCAUUGAUACUAUCUAUCUUGAAUAUCGUGGAGGUAAGCGGAAUAUGUCAUGUAGCGGUGAAAUGCUUAGAUACGACAUAGAACACCAAUUGCGAAGGCAGCUUACUACCCGAAUAUUGACACUGAGGCACGAAAGCGUGGGGAUCAAACAGG